rnacentral:miRNA from 1 species
CCCUCCCUCUCAGAUCCUCCCCCCUCCUGGACAGCAUCCAUUUUGAAGCUGCAUUCUUAGUGAGCUGUCCAGGAGGUGGGAGGGUCUGGGAAGGAGGG